AACGAACGCUGGCGGCAGGCUUAACACAUGCAAGUCGAGCGCCCCGCAAGGGGAGCGGCAGACGGGUGAGUAACGCGUGGGAAUCUACCGUGCCCUACGGAAUAACGCAUGGAAACGUGUGCUAAUACCGUAUACGCCCUACGGGGGAAAGAUUUAUCGGGGUAUGAUGAGCCCGCGUUGGAUUAGCUAGUUGGUGGGGUAAAGGCCUACCAAGGCGACGAUCCAUAGCUGGUCUGAGAGGAUGAUCAGCCACAUUGGGACUGAGACACGGCCCAAGCUCAUACGGGAGGCAGCAGUGGGGAAUAUUGGACAAUGGGCGCAAGCCUGAUCCAGCCAUGCCGCGUGAGUGAUGAAGGUCUUAGGAUUGUAAAGCUCUUUCACCGGUGAAGAUAAUGACGGUAACCGGAGAAGAAGCCCCGGCUAACUUCGUGCCAGCAGCCGCCGUAA
rnacentral:rRNA from 1 species